GAAAAAGGAGAGUGGAAAAGUAUGAGCAGUCAUCCAGCAAAAACGGGAGCUGGAAGCAUGUAAAUAUAAUAGUAACCACUGCAGCCAAGAAGAGAGCCUGACGAGCCCAGUUAUAACCUGGAUGGGCGGUGUGUCAUUUCAAAAAGCUUUUGAAUUGUUUGGGCCACCAGACGACGACAGCUGUGGUCACAAAAAGCCUUCUGGUCCUAUGGAAGUGUACGGGACAACAACUCUGACCUCUGCUGGGUUUAUGGUCUUACGGCCACUCAUUUGGGGUCAUACUCAAUAAAAUAUUGAGGAUUAUUGUGGUAUAUUAUGCCAUGAGUUGUAUGAGCCAAUGAGUGUGCAGCUACACAGCCUGUCCCUCCCUACAUGUUCACAUGUGCCGCACUCCACAGUAAUCAAUCAAAUAAUCAGAGUUUUAUGCACAUAAAGCUCCAGGUGAACGACUCAUCAAACGAGCGUCCAGAUCCAAACGAAGCUCUGAGCUGGCGGAUAAACACCGUGAGGCAGCAAUCUGAUCCUGCAAACGUCUGAGACAUCUCAGUAAACCACAGUGAGACUCCACGCAGCAACACCCUCCUCUACCACACCAACCUUCUGCAUGUCCUCCUUCAUUACAUCGAUAAACCAUCUGUUUUGCUGUCUUUGUGUCAGUACCACAGUCUCCAAACCAUCCAUCACAGCAUCACCUCAAUCUUUAAACGUUCCCUUUCAUUAUUGCUGUUUACUUCUGUCACAAAUCACCCCUAACAUUCUCCUCCACCCACUCCACCCUGCUUGCACUCUAUUCUUCACCUCUUUAGAUGGUUGACCGCAGGUAUUUAAGCUCAUCCACCUUUGCUCCUUUCAUGUUCACCUUUCCACCUGCAUGCACAUCUGAUCACUCUGUCUGUACUCACAGGUGUCCUUGCACCACUCUCACACAACGCCACACUUCCUCUGUUACGACCCAUCAUCUGCUUUCUAUAGCCCAACAAAGACACAGUGAAGCUCCUUCUGACCUUCUCUACACUUGCGCAUCAUGGGGGGGAUGGAUGGGCACUAAAAAUAUUGAGGUAGCACAAAAAACAGAACACUGAAGUGGUGCAGUGGAGAGGAGGGGGUGAUGAUGGGAAAUCGUGAGGGAAAUACAAAGGGACACAAUACGAAUGGCAAGAACUGGAAAUGCAGGAAUAAAAAAAAAAAAAAACAAAAAAAACAAAAAAAAAAAAAACAAGUCGAUGUCCAGCUGUCAGCUCAUUUUAUGGUGUCUUCCUCUCUCUUUUGCUCAUGUUUAUUAAAAUUAUAACCGACACAGAACAGAAAUUGAUAAAUAAAGAAACUCUGCACUUGUAUCGGUGAGAUGAGGUUUAUGGCUGCAGAAAAAGCCCCUCACUGGAUCUUGAGUUUGGAUUAGUUUGUUUAACAGUCCUAAAGCAGGCUGCAUCCAGCUUCUUCUGAUCUGAAAGGAGUGAAGCCCACAUCUCGGUCCC
ensembl:lncRNA